rnacentral:rRNA from 1 species
GACGAACGCUGGCGGCGUGCUUAACACAUGCAAGUCGAACGGAAAGGCCCUGCUUUUGCGGGGUGCUCGAGUGGCGAACGGGUGAGUAACACGUGAGUAACCUGCGCUUGACUUUGGGAUAACUUCAGGAAACUGGUGCUAAUACCGGAUAGGAGCUCCUGCUGCAUGGUGGGGGUUGGAAAGUUUCGGCGGUUGGGGAUGGACGCGCGGCUUAUCAGCUUGUUGGUGGGGUAGUGGCCUACCAAGGCUUUGACGGGUGGCCGGCCUGAGAGGGUGACCGGCCACAUUGGGACUGAGAUACGGCCCAGACUCCUACGGGAGGCAGCAGUGGGGAGUAUUGCACAAUGGGCGGAAGCCUGAUGCAGCAACGCCGCGUGCGGGAUGACGGCCUUCGGGUUGUAAACCGCUUUCGCCUGUGACGAAGCGUGAGUGACGGUAAUGGGUAAAGAAGCACCGGCUAACUACGUG